rnacentral:tRNA from 1 species
GGCACUAUGGCCGAGUGGUUAAGGCGACAGAUUCGAACGGUAUAUACUUGCCUUCCGAAUAUCUGUUUCCCUAUGGGAGCGUGAGUUCAAAUCUCACUGGUGUCG